rnacentral:rRNA from 1 species
GAUGAACGCUGGCGGCGUGCCUAAUACAUGCAAGUCGAGCGAACAGACGAGGAGCUUGCUCCUUCGACGUUAGCGGCGGACGGGCGAGUAACACGUAGGUAACCUACCUAUAAGACUGGGAUAACUUCGGGAAACCGGAGCUAAUACCGGAUAAUAUUUCGAACCGCAUGGUUCGAUAGUGAAAGAUGGCUUUGCUAUCACUUAUAGAUGGACCUGCGCCGUAUUAGCUAGUUGAUAAGGUAACGGCUUACCAAGGCAACGAUACGUAGCCGACCUGAGAGGGUGAUCGGCCACACUGGAACUGAGACACGGUCCAGACUCCUACGGGAGGCAGCAGUAGGGAAUCUUCCGCAAUGGGCGAAAGCCUGACGGAGCAACGCCGCGUGAGUGAUGAAGGUCUUCGGAUCGUAAAACUCUGUUAUUAGGGAAGAACAAACGUGUAAGUAACUGUGCACGUCUUGACGGUACCUAAUCAGAAAGCCACGGCUAACUACGUG